rnacentral:misc_RNA from 1 species
GUGAAUCAUCAAAUCUUUGAACGCAUAUUGCACUCUCUGGUAUUCCGGAGAGCAUGCCUGUUUGAGGGUCAUUAAAAAGAAUCUUUAACUAAUUUUUUUUGGUCAAAGGAAGUGCGUUCUCCGCGAUUAUAGUGGUUGCUUGAAAUAAAUGGUCAAGUCUCAUUUUAGUCGGGACGCGUAAUCAUAUUAUUUCGCGUCAUCUUCAUUAUGUGACUAUCAAGUUUUGAUGCAUACAAAUUUGGUUUGUAUGCCAUCAAUACGAAUAUUUUGAACAUUACCUCACAUCAGGUCGUAGUACCCG